rfam:Escherichia coli ISC11, WGS project CBWP01000000 data, contig: c18
UCGGUGUGGGCUGGCAUCGUUAAUUAUCCAUUAUUUUCUGUUUACCAGAUCACGUUUUAUUAUUUAAUAGGUCACCCAUUAAUUAACUGAAAUUAUAUUCCCGUCGUAAAUAUAAUAGAUAUAGAUUAUAUGACGAAAUAAAAAACCCCGGACAUAAACCGGGGUUAAUUUAAAUA